rnacentral:rRNA from 1 species
CACGGGGGUUGCGAGCGUUGUCCGGAAUUACUAGGCGUAAAGGGCAGGCAGGCGGAUCCAUAAGUUUAUCGUUUAAGGCGUCGGCUUAACCGGCGUAGGGCGGUAGAUACUGUGGAUCUGGAAUGCGGUUGGGGAAGACAGAAUUCCUGGUGUAGCGGUGGAAUGCGCAGAGAUCAGGAGGAAUACCGAAGGCGAAGGCAGUCUUCCAAGCCGUUAUUGACGCUCAACUGCGAAGGUGUGGGUAUCAAACAGGAUUAGAUAUCCGGGUAGUCCCUGA